rnacentral:rRNA from 1 species
CUGAACGCCUCUAAGUCAGAAUCCGUGCUAGAAACGAUGAUGUUGGUGUCGCACAUUAGACUUGUGUUUAAAUAGAGCUUUGCUCGUGAACCAAAUAUGGUGGGCUGGGUUGUCUUUGUGGAAACGCUUAGGCGACUUGUCUACGAAUUGUAAUCAUAAUAUGGGCGGCGGUGAAUCCUUUGCAGACGACUUGAAUGGGAACGGGGUACUGUAAGUGGUAGAGUAGCCUUGUUGCUACGAUCCACUGAGGUUAAGCCCUUGUUCUAAAGAUUUGUUCA